rnacentral:lncRNA from 1 species
GGUGUAUUGACCACCAGGUCCCUCCUCAGCUUUCACCUUCCAGGCCUCGCCCACUCUAUUUUAGAGCCAGGAGCUGGGAACAGCACCUGUUUUUCGUCUCUAAGGAUGGGGUGGGCAUUUUGACGGCGCCCUCUUUCAACCAACCCACGCUAAGGUGUCUGUGUUUCUGCGUUUUCAAGCUCCCCCCAGCCGCCCCGCGCCCCCCGCAUCCCCAUCUCCGUGGCUGAGGGCCUAGGGAGGAGGGAAAAUCCAUCCUCAGACACACUAGAUCCUCAGCGAGACCUGCUGUGGAGAGCAUCAAACGGACCGCACGCGGACCCACCUGCCUUCCAAAGUUUGGGGCGUGAGGAAGCUGAGGCACGUGGCGUUUGGUUAUGGCACAGCUGAGGGGUCUGCAGGAGACCCCAGAAAAUGCCGCUGAGGACGGAUUCACCGACGUCAUCAAAAGCCGCGCUGGUAGGACCCCCGCUGCCUUGCUUUUUAGUGUCUGGGUUAUUCACUGUACCCUGCUACUCUCCGCAGAGGCUGUGCCCUGGAAGUUGGCACGGGUUGGGGAAAGUUGUGGCGCCCAGCAGAGGAGCAGCAGGGGACUGUCAGGGCGCCCCCGCGCGUGGGGAGGGCGGGGAACCACGCAGGGCGCGGCGUUCCAGGGAUAAGGGAGUGCUGCUCUCAGGGAAAGCAGAAACCCAACUUUUCCUUUUAGGCCAAGUGGAUAUCAGUGGGGGGUUUAUUUAUUAUUUUUUAAAGAAAGCCCACUGAAUAUUGAAUUUUGUUAUAGGAUGGUAGGCUGUUUUAAAAAUUAAACACAAAGGAUUGGUCAGAUUGAGUUAAAAUAAAUAUUGUGGUAGCUUGAGGAAGGGAGGGAGGGCCGGCGAAGGACAGCUUGCCUUGUCAGGGCGUGGCCAAGUGCAGAGUUAAGAAAUCUGAGAAGUUUCACCUCAGCUGUGCUGAAGGAAAACGUCAGAGCGCUAGACAGGAAGACUUGCAUGCCCGAGGUACAACUAUACGAGUUGAAAAUCAGUAAAGCAGCAGAAGUGAGGAGUCUAAGGUUUUUGCAGCGCUUCCCACCCCCAUGCACGUGUAAAUUUCAUUUGUAAUAAAUCUUCUGGUGUUUGGUAGUCUGGCCUACAUAUGCAAACUCUUGUAAACCAGGAUACGUUUUUAAAGCUGUAAAUGGAAGCAGCUGUUAAGCUCUCUCUAAGGAUGAAGUUUUUCAGCUGCCUGAGCCCGCUCCUUUCGCCUUUGGACACGCAGCAAAUUGUGGACGUUAAAAUCACAGGACCAUUCAAGAUUUCUUUAUGUACAUUGCUGGAUGCUGAAGAGGACAGAGGUAUGAAGUCACUGUCCAAGUAUAUUUCUGAAGUGAGGUUAAAGGAAAGAUCACAAAA